ncrna:Ictalurus punctatus (channel catfish) microRNA ipu-mir-187 precursor
GGCUGCAACACAGGACAUGGGAGCUGUCUCUCACUCCCGCUCGUGUCUUGUGUUGCAGCCAGU